AUUCCAGCUCCAAUAGCGUAUAUUAACGUUGUUGCAGUUAAAAAGCUCGUAGUUGGAUUUGUGGUUUCAGGUGCGGUCCAAAAUUUUUUGGUACUGCAUGUUGGAGCCAUCCUUGGGUGGAAUCUGUGUGGCAUUAGGUUGUCGCGCAGGGGAUGCCCAUCGUUUACUGUGAAAAAAUUAGAGUGUUCAAAGCAGGCUUAUGCCGUUGAAUAUAUUAGCAUGGAAUAAUGAGAUAGGACCUUGGUACUAUUUUGUUGGUUUGCGCACCGAGGUAAUGAUUAACAGGGACAGUUGGGGGUAUUCGUAUUUCAUUGUCAGAGGUGAAAUUCUUGGAUUUUUGGAAGACGAACUACUGCGAAAGCAUUUACCAAGGAUGUUUUC
rnacentral:rRNA from 1 species